rnacentral:rRNA from 1 species
UCGGGGAGGCCUUACCAUGCAAGUCGAACGGCAGCACGGACUUCGGUCUGGUGGCGAGUGGCGAACGGGUGAGUAAUGUAUCGGAACGUGCCCAGUAGCGGGGGAUAACUACGCGAAAGCGUAGCUAAUACCGCAUACGCCCUACGGGGGAAAGCAGGGGAUCGCAAGACCUUGCACUAUUGGAGCGGCCGAUAUCGGAUUAGCUAGUUGGUGGGGUAACGGCUUACCAAGGCGACGAUCCGUAGCUGGUUUGAGAGGACGACCAGCCACACUGUGACUGAGACACGGCCCAGACUCCUACGGGAGGCAGCAGUGGGGAACUUUGGACAAUGGGGGAAACCCUGAUCCAGCCAUCCCGCGUGUGCGAUGAAGGCCUUCGGGUUGUAAAGCACUUUUGGCAGGAAAGAAACGUCGCGGGUUAAUACCCCGCGGAACUGACGGUACCUGCAGAAUAAGCACCGGCUAACUACGGACCAGCACCCGCGGUAAUACGUAAGGUGCAAGCCUUAAUCGAAUAACUGGACGUAAAACGUGCGCAGGCCGUCGGAAAGAAAGAUGUGAAAUCCCACACCUUAACUCUGAACUGCAUUUUUAACUACCGGGCUAGAGUGUGUCAGAGGGAGGUGGAAUUCCGCGUGUAGCAGUGAAAUGCGUAGAUAUGCGGAGGAACACCGAUGGCGAAGGCAGCCUCCUGGGAUAACACUGACGCUCAUGCACGAAAGCGUGGGGAGCAAACAGGAUUAGAUACCCUGGUAGUCCACGCCCUAAACGAUGUCAACUAGUUGUUGGGGUCUUCGGACCUUGGUAGCGCAGCUAACGCGUGAAGUUGACGCUGGGGAGUACGUCGCAAGAUUAAAACUCAAGAUGACCGGGACCCGCACAGCGUGAUGAUGUGAAUUAUCGAUGCACGCGAAAAACCUUACCUACCCUUGACAUGUCUGGAAUCCCGAAGAGAUUUGGGAGUGCUCGCAAGAGAACCGGAACACAGGUGCUGCAUGGCUGUCGUCAGCUGGUGUCCUGAGAUGUUGGGUUAACUCCCGCAACGAGCGCAACCCUUGUCAUUAGUUGCUACGAAAGGGCACUCUAAUGAGACUGCCGGUGACAAACCGGAGGAAGGUGGGGAUGACGUCAAGUCCUCAUGGCCCUUAUGGGUAGGGCUUCACACGUCAUACAAUGGUCGGGACAGAGGGUCGCCAACCCGCGAGGGGGAGCCAAUCCCAGAAACCCCAUGGUAGUCCGGAUCGCAGUCCCCAACUCGACUGCGUGCCGUCGGACCCGCCAGUAAUCGACGAUCAGCAUGUCGCGGUGAAUACGUUCCCGGGUUUUGUACACACCGCCCGUCACACCAUGGGAGUCCGUUCUACCAGAAGUAGUUAGCCUAACCGGCAGGAGGGCG